rnacentral:rRNA from 1 species
CCCUACGGGGCGCAGCAGUGGGGAAUAUUGCACAAUGGGGGAAACCCUGAUGCAGCGAUGCCGCGUGGAGGAAGAAGGUUUUCGGAUUGUAAACUCCUUUUAUCAGGGACGAUAAUGACGGUAUCUAACGAAUGAGCACCGGCUAACUCCGUGCCAGCAGCCGCGGUAAUACGGAGGGUGCAAGCGUUACUCGGAAUCACUGGGCGUAAAGAGCGCGUAGGCGGGAUAGCAAGUCAGAUGUGAAAUCCUAUGGCUUAACCAUAGAACUGCAUUUGAAACUGUUAUUCUAGAGUAUGGGAGAGGUA